UACAGAGGGUGCGAGCGUUAAUCGGAAUUACUGGGCGUAAAACGCGCGCAGGCGGUCCUUUAAGUCUGAUGUGAAAGCCCACGGCUCAACCGUGGAGGGUCAUUGGAAACUGGGGGACUUGAGUACAGAAGAGAAGAGUGGAAUUGACCACUGUGUAGCGGUGAAAUGCGUAGAAGAUGUGGAGGAACACCAGUGGCGAAGGCGACUCUUUGGUCUGUAAUCUGACGCUGAGGCGCGAAAGCGUGGGGAGCAAACAGG
rnacentral:rRNA from 1 species